AUUAAAAGAAAAGGGUGAAAAGAACAAAGUUUUGUCCAUCUUUGUUCAUCAUAGCUGAAAGUUAGAGAAGAGAAAGGAGAGGAGAAAGCUCUUGAGUAUUCGGUCAUUAGGAGGAGGAAAAUUGAAGGCGGUUCGUGUGUGGAUCUCGUCAGCAUAUCGUCGCAAACAGGAAAUCCCCAACCAUAGUGGGCUUGGAGCUGUGAGGGAAUUCGGAGUGGCCACCCAUUCUGAAAGUUUGAUUUUCUUCUGGUGAACUGGACAUCCUUUUAAUUACGUUUGAGGUUUUAGGCUUUUAAAUGUAAUAAGGCCGCUUAUUUAUUUUUGAUGGUUUUUAAUAUGUAUUACUAAGAUAGGUAAUACUUAUUUUAACUGUUGAAAUUGGAUAGCUUUAGGGCGCGUUUUCAAAAACAA